GACGAACGCUGGCGGCGUGCUAACACAUGCAAGUCGAGCGGUAAGGCCCUUUCGGGGGUACACGAGCGGCGAACGGGUGAGUAACACGUGGGUGACCUGCCCUCAGCUCUGGGAUAAGCCCGGGAAACUGGGUCUAAUACUGGAUAUGACUCCAUGACGCAUGUUGUGGGGUGGAAAGCCUUGUGCGGCUGAGGAUGGGCCCGCGGCCUAUCAGCUUGUUGGU
rnacentral:rRNA from 1 species